rnacentral:rRNA from 1 species
GUGAGGAAUAUUGCGCAAUGGAGGCAACUCUGACGCAGCCAUGCCGCGUGCAGGAAGAAGGCGCUACGCGUUGUAAACUGCUUUUAACCGGGAAGAAACCCCAGGACGUGUCCUGGGUUGACGGUACCGGAGGAAUAAGCACCGGCUAACUUCGUGCCAGCAGCCGAGGUAAUACGUAGGGUGCAAGCGUUAUCCGGAUUCAUGGGGUUUAAAGGGUGCGUAGGCGGAGCGUUAAGUCAGUGGUGAAAUCCUGCAGCUUAACUGUAGACUUGCCAUUGAUACUGGCGAUCUUGAUUGCGCUUGAAGUGGGCGGAAUGUGCCGUGUAGCGGUGAAAUGCUUAGAUAUGGCACAGAACACCAAUUGCGAAGGCAGCUCACUAAGGCGAUACUGACGCUGAGGCACGAAAGCGUGGGGAUCGAACAGGAUUAGAAACCCUAGUAGUCC